AGUGAACGUUGGCGGUAGGCCUAACACAUGCAAGUCGAACGGCAGCACAGUAAGAGCUUGCUCUUACGGGUGGCGAGUGGCGGACGGGUGAGGAAUACAUCGGAAUCUACUUUUUCGGGGGGGAUAACGUAGGGAAACUUACGCUAAUACCGCAUACGACCUACGGGUGAAAGCAGGGGAUCUUCGGACCUUGCGCGAUUGAAUGAGCCGAUGUCGGAUUAGCUAGUUGGCGGGUUAAAGGCCCACCAAGGCGACGAUCCGUAGCUGGUCUGAGAGGAUGCUCAGCCACACUGGAACGGGGACACGCUCCAGCCUCCUACGGGAGGCACCAGUGGGGAAUAUUGGACAAUGGGCGCAAGCCUGAUCCAGCCAGACGGCGUGGGUGAAGAAGGCCUUCGGGUUGUAAAGCCCUUUUGUUGGGAAAGAAAAGCAGCAGGUUAAUACCCCGCUGUUCUGACGGUACCCAAAGAAUAAGCACCGGCUAACUUCGUG
rnacentral:rRNA from 1 species